UACGAAGGGUGCAAGCGUUAAUCGGAAUUACUGGGCGUAAAGGGUGCGUAGGCGGUUAUUUAAGUCUGCCGUGAAAUCCCCGGGCUCAACCUGGGAAUGGCGGUGGAUACUGGAUAGCUAGAGUGUGUCAGAGGGUGGUGGAAUUCCCGGUGUAGCGGUGAAAUGCGUAGAGAUCGGGAGGAACAUCAGUGGCGAAGGCGGCCAUCUGGGACAACACUGACGCUGAAGCACGAAAGCGUGGGGAGCAAACAGG
rnacentral:rRNA from 1 species